rnacentral:rRNA from 1 species
AUUGAACGCUGGCGGCAGGCUUAACACAUGCAAGUCGAGCGGGGUGAUGUAGCUUGCUACAUUACCUAGCGGCGGACGGGUGAGUAACGCUUAGGAAUCUGCCUAUUAGUGGGGGACAACAUUCCGAAAGGAAUGCUAAUACCGCAUACGCCCUACGGGGGAAAGCAGGGGAUCUUCGGACCUUGCGCUAAUAGAUGAGCCUAAGUCAGAUUAGCUAGUUGGUGGGGUAAAGGCCUACCAAGGCGACGAUCUGUAGCGGGUCUGAGAGGAUGAUCCGCCACACUGGGACUGAGACACGGCCCAGACUCCUACGGGAGGCAGCAGUGGGGAAUAUUGGACAAUGGGCGAAAGCCUGAUCCAGCCAUGCCGCGUGUGUGAAGAAGGCCUUUUGGUUGUAAAGCACUUUAAGCGAGGAGGAGGCUACCGAGAUUAAUACUCUUGGAUAGUGGACGUUACUCGCAGAAUAAGCACCGGCUAACUCUGUGCCAGCAGCCGCCGCAGUAA